CCCGCACGUCUCGUAUCCAGUGUUGUAAGUGCAGAAGGUAAUUGGAAAGGGAUCUUAAACUUGCAGCCAGCCAGCUGAAUCAUUAAAAAGCAACCACAAAGAAAACUCACACCAAUAGUAACGCUCCAGAGACAAAUCAAAAACCCAAAGUCUAUUUUGCAGGAAGGGUUAUAGUUCCUCUCGAAAUCUGGCCAUGGUUGU
ensembl:misc_RNA